rnacentral:sRNA from 1 species
AACCGUAUCUCCGAAUAUUACGCCUAGAACUGUGUCAGAAUGGCUGCUAGAUUCGAAUUUGUCCCAAUCGUCCAAAGACUCCACAGGGCGUUGGCCUAUCUUAGCCCUAAAGAAAAUCACGACGAAAGGGUUCGGCGGAGCGGACCAUGUUUUGUGGACCUGUAAGCGAAGCCUCAGCAAGGAUCCGUUUUUGUCAACGAAAAAGGAUUGACCGACGAGAACUUAACCUUUAAACAUGGAAGUGGCCGAGUCUCAUCGUGGCAGCGACUGUUUUCGUGUCGGAGAUAUCAAAACGCCAACAACUGAGCCACCACAUGUCCGUCGAAUACGCAUCUGAAACCACGAUUAGGUGUGCUACCAUUUUUAAACACGGGCUUGACAUGCGCAAGUCUCAAGAAACCUGAAGCCGUGUACCUGUUACAAACAAGGGUCACACGUGCGAUCUAUGCAGGACAAAGAGUUAGGUAUCUCUUAUGUGGCGCCACCACUUCCCAUGCUCCGUCAUCUUUUCUCCUCUCCUGAUAAUGUCCAUGGAAGAAACCGAA